rnacentral:rRNA from 1 species
AGAGUUUGAUCAUGGCUCAGGAUGAACGCUAGCUACAGGCUUAACACAUGCAAGUCGAGGGGUAGCAGGGUAGCAAUACCGCUGACGACCGGCGCACGGGUGAGUAACACGUAUCCAACUUCCCAUAACUCGGGGAUAGCCUUUCGAAAGAAAGAUUAAUACCCGAUAGUACUUAUAUAAGGCAUCUUAAAUAAGUUAAAGAUUUAUUGGUUAUGGAUGGGGAUGCGUUCCAUUAGAUAGUUGGUGAGGUAACGGCUCACCAAGUCUUCGAUGGAUAGGGGUUCUGAGAGGAAGGUCCCCCACAUUGGUACUGAGACACGGACCAAACUCCUACGGGAGGCAGCAGUGAGGAAUAUUGGUCAAUGGGCGAGAGCCUGAACCAGCCAAGUAGCGUGAAAAGGAUGAAGGUCCUAUGGAUUGUAAACUUCUUUUGUAGUAGAAUAAAGUGACCCACGUGUGGGUUUUUGUAUGUAUACUAUGAAUAAGGAUCGGCUAACUCCGUGCCAGCAGCCGC